GCUUCAGCUCAUGCCUUGCAGUUGCAGCCUGACCUCCCUGAUGGCCUGCCCUGUGGAUUUCAGACUUGCCCUGCCAGUCUCCGCAAUCACGCGUAUGAAGAUUAAAUGAUUGACACUGAUCAAGUUGUGCAGAGUCUAUCUGACUUGAAAGAUGCUGGCACACUGAACAAGGCAGAAGCAACAGCAAUGACAAGAACAACAACAAAACCUUUUCAGUUAAGAAAUAGCCCUCGGCGCAGAGUUUACACACCGGUUCGAAUGUGCCCGGAAUACUCGACAAACACGCAGCCUCGAGUUGAAAGCUGGCCCCUUAGGUUUCAGCCGUUUGGAAACUUCCUGAUAGGAUUAUGGAGACAGACAGUCCAGUACGUCUGUCGAUAGCUUCCCUUGGCCGGACUCCGCAAACCUCACGACGGUGUCACACCUACCUGCCGAGUGUCUUCCACACCCCCGGAGAGGUGGUGGCUGCCUUCCCGAAGCUGUAUUCCGAUCCUGCAGCCUUG